GUCUCUUCAUUUGCUCUGCCCUGCUUAGAUAACUGACCCAUAUUCCUUUAUAUCGAAAGAUUUGACAGAUGGCUGCUUUUUCAAUGAUUAUACAAGCCCGGAAGAUAGAUCGCGGCUGUGCCCUCUGAUAGAAGAUAAACCUGCCUGCCUGUUUUCCAUCUUCACUGAAGAACACCUUUGAAUUUUAACGUGG
rnacentral:lncRNA from 1 species